GACGAACGCUGGCGGCGUGCUUAACACAUGCAAGUCGAACGGAAAGGCCCUGCUUUUGUGGGGUGCUCGAGUGGCGCACGGGUGAGUAACACGUGAGUAACAUGCCCUUGACUUUGGGGUAACUUCAGGGAACUGGGGCUAAUACCGGAUAGGAGCUCCUGCCGCGUAGUGUGGGUUGGAAAGAUUCGGCGGUUGGGGAUGGACUCGCGGCUUAUCAGCUUGUUGGUGGGGUAGUGGCUUACCAAGGCUUCGACGGGUAGCCGGCCUGGGAGGGUGACCGGCCACAUUGGGACUGAGAUACGGGCCAGACUCCUACGGGAGGCAGCAGUGGGGAAUAGUGCACAAUGGGCGGAAGCCUGAUGCAGCAACGCCGCGUGCGGGAUGACGGCCUUCGGGUUGUAAACCGCUUUCGCCUGUGACGAAGCGUGAGUGACGGUAAUGGGUAAAGAAGCACCGGCUAACUACGUG
rnacentral:rRNA from 1 species